rnacentral:lncRNA from 1 species
AAUCUGAUUAGCAUCCGUGAGGAUGCAGGUGUGAUCCCUGGCCUCGCUCAGUGGAUUAAGCAUCCUGCCUUCCCAUGAGCUGUGGUGUAGGUUGCAGACACAGCUCGGAUCUGGCAGUUAUGUGGCUGUGGUGCAGGCCAGCACCUACAGCUCUGACUCAACCCCUAGCCUGGGAACCUCCAUAUGCCGCAGGUGCAGACCUAAAAAAACAAAAACAACUUUAAGAUUGUUAUUACCCUGCAGUAAAAUGCUUGAAGUAGCUAGAACCUAGGGCCACAGCUUCUGAUGUAUAAAUAGUGUCCCCUUUAAACCUGUGGGAGUUGCCUACAUAUUAACUCAAAAGGCACAAUUACAGCCCAUCUCAGCGUGUGGUGAAUACUCUUUUGCUAUAAAGAGUUUACUUUGGGUCCUUUUUUGAACAUGUCAUGGACUUGACUCCUUGCUUUCUCCCAGUCUGCAGAUACUUGCAGAAAAGCGACAUCCCAGAUAGAGAAGAGGGUCAAGUGCAGAAGGGUAGCUGCUUUGCAACCGGAAGCUCCCUAAAGAAUGCAAAUGGUUCUUACUGAAUCCUUGCUACGGAUUGUCAGAAAUUCUAAAUUAUUAAAUUGAAAUCAUCAAGUUUUUAUAUGUGAAUUACAUAUGUACUAAUGUAUAUUUUAUUCAUUUAUAAAGUGUUAAUUUGGGACCAGACCAUGAACCAGAGGCACAGAGAAUAAGGUCAUGAAGUACUUGCCCUUGUAGGUGCUCACAUUAUGUCACGACUUGAUAUGAAAACAAGUCAUUUUAGCAACAUAAUAAGAACUACAAGAAGGGUGUGAACCUGGUCAUAGAAUAGCAAGGAGGGUAAAGUGGGCAACCUGGCAUGACGUGAUACCUAACCAACCUGUCUAGGAUGAGACAGAAUCAGGAAGGCAAAUAAGGAUGAGCACAACAGGGUUAAGAACGGGCUUAUUGUUUUCUUUUGGGGAAGAGAGCAAUAUGAACAUGCUAUGAGAGUGACAUGAAGGAAAAAAAGAGAUUGAAACCUACAACGUAACACAUACCAGUAGGAGAGUAUAUGUAGGGGGGAAAAAAAAGCAAUUACCUAAUAGGGCUCAGGAAUUUAGGUUCCAAUAUGUAAUUGCCAAUUUUUUACAGUUUGUUUUUUUAUUGUGGUACAAACAACAUAAGUAAAAUUUACCGUUCAAACAUUUUUAAAUGUACAGUUUGGCAGUAUUAAGUAUAUUCAACACCACCAUCCAUCUCCACCAUCCUUUUCAUCUUUCAAAACUGAAACUAUAUACCUUUUAAUCAAUAACUUCUCAUUCUCCCUUCCCUUGACCCCUGGCCUCCACCAUUCUGUUUCCUGUUUCUAUGAUUUUGACUACUCCAAGUACUUCAUACAAGUGGAAUCAUAUAAUAGGUGUCUUUUGUGUUGGACUUAUUUCACUUAGCAUAUGCCCUCCAGGUUCAUCCAUGUUGUAGCAUGUAUCAUAAUUUCUUUCCUUUUUAAGGCUGAAUAAUAUUUGAUACAACACAUAUACUACAUUUUUCUUGGCCAUUAAGCCACCAACAGACAUGAAUCACCAAGAACUUUUUGAUAUGGUGAAUAAUGCUACAAUGAACUCAAGUGAACAAAUGUCUGUUUGAUAUCCCAUUUUCAAUUCUUUUGGUAUAUACCCAGAAGUAGAAUUUCUGGAUUAUAUGGCAUUUCUAUAUUUAAUUUUUUGAAGAACCAUCAUACUGUUUUCAGCUGCUGUACCAUUUUACAUUGCCAUCAACAGGACACAAAAAUUCCAAUUUCUCCAUUUCCUUGCCAAGACUUGUUAUUUUCUAGGUUUUGUCCUUGUUUUUAUUUUUUUGAUAGUAGCUAUACUAAUGGGUCCAGAGGAUAUCUCUCUCUUUUUUUUUUUUUCAAGUGGCAGAAGCAAAAAUUCUUUUAAUGCUUCUUUUUAAUGUUUCUAUAUUUGUUUUAACUUUUUUUUAUUUCCCCAAUACACUAUUAUUUUUUUCUACUGUACAGCAUGGUGACCCAGUUACACAUACAUGUAUACAUUCUGUUUUCUCACAUUAUCAUGCUCCAUCGUAAGUGACUAGAUAUAGUUCCUAGUGCUACACAGCAAGAGCUCAUUGCUAAUCCAUUCCAAAGGCAAGAGUCUGCAUCUAUGAACCCCAAGCUCCCAAUCCAUCCCUCUCCCUCCCGCUCCCCUUUGGCAACCACAAGUCUAUUCUCCAAGUCCAUGAUUUUCUUUUCUGUGGAAAGGUUCAUUUGUUCUGUAUAUUAGAUUCUAGAUAUAAGUGAUACCAUAUGGAAUAUUUCUUUCUUUGUCUUAUUUCACUCAGGAUGAGAGUCUCUAGUUCCAUCCAUGUUGCUGCAAAUGGCAUUAUUUUGUUCUUCUUUAUGGCUGAGUAGUAUUAUCAUAUAUAUAUCACAUAUGUAUCACAUGUUCCUAAUCCGAUUGUCUGUCAAUGGACAUUGGGUUGUUUCCACGUCUUGGCUAUUGUGAAUAGUGCUGCAAUGAACAUGCGGAUGCACGUGUCUUUUUUAAGGAAAGUUUUGUCUGGAUAUAUGCCCACGAGUGGGAUUGCUGGGUCAUAUGGUAGUUCUAUGUAUAGUUUUCUAAGGUGCCUUCAUUCUGUUCUCCAUACAGUUUUAAUUUACAUUUCCCUAAUUACUAGUGACAUCAAGCAUCUUUUUUUCACUUGCUAAUUAGCCAUUAUUUAUAUUCUUUGGAUCAAUGUCCAAAUUCUUUGCCCAUUUUUAAAUCAAGUUGCUUGUACCUGGAAGUUUGUACCUUUGUUCUAGGAUGUCACGUACAAUGUGAUAACUAUAGUUAACACUACUGUAUGACAUAGAGGAAAGUUGUUGAGAGUAGAUUUUAAGAGUUCUCAACGCAAGGAAAAUAUUUUUUCUUAUUAUUGUCUCUAUAUGAGAUAAUGGAUGUUAACUAAAUCUUUUGUAUUCAUUUCACAAGAUAUGUAGCUCAAACCAUCAUGUUUAUCUCUUAAACAUAUGCAGUAGAUAUAUAUCAAUUAUUUUUCAAUAAAACUGGAAAAAAAUUAAAAAAUCAAUGCUUGUUUUUUUGUUGUUGAGUUUUAGGAGCUCUCUGUGUAUUUGGGAUAUUAAUUACUUAGCAGAUGUAUUACUUGCAAAUAUUACUCCCUUCUGUAGGUUGCCUUUUUUAUCUGUUUUUAUUAGUUUAUAGGUAUUUUCUAACUUCCCUUAUAAUUUCUUCUUUUAUCCAUUAGUUAUUUAAAAGUGUUUUUUUAACACCUACACAUUUGUGAAUUUUUCAGUUUUCCUGAAACAGUUGUGUCUGUUAGAUAUAGCUGGUUUAUUGUGUUGCUCAAGAACUCUAUUUCCUUACUUACCUUCUAGCCAUGAUUAAGAGUUGAGUAUUGAAGUCUCCCACUAUUAAUAUAAAACUGUCUAUUUCUCCCUGUAGUUCUAUAAACUUUUGGUUUAUAUAUUUUGAGGGUCUGUGCAUAAAUGUUUAUUAUUGUUAUAUAUUCUUACAUUUUUGAAUCUUUAUUUGUAUAUCUUUUGCUGUUUGUGUUCAAUAUGCCGUGUAGAUUUUUCGUACCUCGUUUCUUGCAUUACUAUUUACUUUUGUGUUUAGUUUUUUUGUAGUGUAAUGUUUUAAUUUCAUUCUCAUUUUCUCUAUAACUAUUCACUUUGUGGUUACCAUUUUACAUCCUAGUUAUAACACUCCAAUUGAAUUUAUGCUAUCUUAAUGACAAUAAUAGAAAAUUAUAUGACGUUACAGUAAUUUGCAGCUCCAGAAUUUCAUUUGGAUUUCUUUUCAUAUUUUCUGUCUUUUUAUUAAUAUUUGCAUUUUGUUUGUACAUUGCUUUCUUGACUUUUUCCAUGUCAUCCACUAGUCCUUCAGGCAUCUUUAAGCCUUUGCUAUUUUUUAGAUGUGGGGUUUGAGGGUAUUCACACUACUUAAGUCAGUUUUUUUUAUCUGUAAAAUGAGGAUUAUACAUUUAUCCUCACUGGGCUAUUUUUGAACAUGUAGGAGUUCCAGGAGAUAAUUGCUUUGGAUUAUUGAUGAAUAUUUAAAUGUAUGUCUGUGCACGAAUUACCGUAUCUUGAUCUUUUUUAAGAUGAUGUUACUGAUGAGGAUCAGAAUCCAGUAGGAUACAUUGAACCAAAGAGGUGAUUGUCCAUAAUUUUUUCUGACUAACACCACAUUCACAUACACUCUUGCUGUGCCUAAAAAAGUCUAGAUUUUCAGAUCUUUCUACAAGACAUGAUCUCCUGAGAAUUCAUCUUCAAACAAAACUUUCAAGUUGCUACUUGCUGACACAGUCUUCUAAAUGUGUGCUCUGUAUCAAAACGUGGCCAGUGUUAGCCAGAACAAUAAGAGCUAAGUUCUGUUCUCCUUUUGUUCGACCAAACAGUGUCCCAAGCAAGUUAACUAUAGUAGAAAGAUCAGGAGUAUCCAAUCUCUAAAUGACAAAUGCAUUAUUCCCUUGACUUUUAUGUGUAUAAACCAUCUGUCAAAUUGAAUUGUGUGGACACUUGCCAUUGUGCCCGUCAUCAUGAGUUGCUUACUUGUGUAGAAUUAUUAGAAUGUAAUUUUAUGUUUAUGAAAUUUUGGCCUUUCUGGAGAGUCUCAUAUCGAGGACCCAGUUGAGAUGAGGAGGUAACAAGGAAGGCAUUUUAAAUGGUACAGAAGAAGCCACUGAUCAAAAUAAGUGCAAAGUAAGUUACACCAAUAGUUGUUUUUUUAGUGCUUGAAAGAGUAGCAGUGACCUCACUUUAAAAACCCAAAGGCGAAAGAUAUGUAAACAUGAAAUAUAUAUGUUUAUUAUUACACACAUUUUCCUCCUUGUUAUCCUCCAACUGUAAGAGGUUGUAAUGCAUAGGCUUUCCUGGCAUAAGACAGCUGUUGGAUAUGUCUCAGUGUGGAGUGCUAUUUUACAGUCGCUAGCAAGAAUAUUAGAACCAACCUUUUUUUCUCUAAAUGCUUCUUGGGAAAGGUACAUUAAUUAAGACAGUGGCCAAAUUAGUUCUAUAAGACUGCAGUAUUUUGUCUUUAAAAAAUCAGAUAUUAAAAAAAUUAUGUAAUGUAUAUUAUGAAUAUAAAAUAAUAUAAUGUAUAGUCUAGUUAUAUAAUGUAAAUAAUGGCUAAAAAUCUGAAAAAGUAAAUAUAAAAUGAAUUGAUAUGAAGUUGAAUAAAUAAUCAACAUACUUUUUCUACCCUUACUCUUCUGAAAUACUUAAUUUUAUUAAUUAAAAAUGCACUAUUUUACAGAGUUCAUAGGAAACAUUAUUUUCCAUAAUUUGAAGUAUUGUUUUUUUUCUUUAUUUGGCUGUGCCUGUGGCAUGUGGAAGUUCCUGGCCAGUAGUAGCAGCAAAUUGAGCCCUUGCAGUGACAGCACUGGAUCCUUAACCCACUUAACCACAAGGGAACUCCUGAAAUAUGUAUUUUUAAAGUACAAGCUAUUGCAGUAUUUAUAAUUCACUUCAUUUUAAAAACAAUUUGUGGCACCUUACAGAACAAAUAAUACAACAUAAAGAAAAAAUAAGGACAUUAGGAAGAAGGAAAAAUAACGGUAGAAGAAUUAAGUGAAAUAAAGGGCAAGGUUACUGCAUGUAUCUGCCUGCAAACAUCCCAUAGACCAAAACAAAGAAUAAAACAUGGUCAAUUGCAAAAGUCAAUGUCGAUGGAAUUAAAAUAUGACAAUGGAUCCAUAGAAUAACUUUCCUGGGUUUUGAGGCUAUAGAUGUGUCACUGAGUGGAGUAAAGUGUUCACAUUGAAUACCAUUUUUAUGAAAGUACCACAGUACAUUAUAAGAUUUCAGACUUGUCUCAUAAUAAUCCUUAACCUAUCAAAGUAUAAUAGAUUAAAACUAAUUCCAUGAGGAGAUCCAAAUAAGAGUAAUUAGACAGCUGCAUGGUGGUCCAUCUUAGUCAAAAGAAGAAAUAGAAUUAGAAUUCAGAAGAUGAAAGGUGGGGAGUGUGAAUUAAUAGCAAAAUUACUUUUUUGAAUAAAACCUUGCAAGUGUUCUUUGUUUCUUGCAGCCAAAAGAUCCUAACUGGCAAAAUCAUGAAGGCAGACAUUAUAUUUUAGUAGUCAUCAUAUAAGAAUAACUUGAAUAUUUAUUAUAGCUACAUUUAGUGAUGAGGCAUGAUAACACUGCCUUUUUCAAUUAAAACAAAAGUCUCAUUAUCAACAAACUACUCUUUUAAGGUAUCUUAUGGCUAGGUUUUUUUCUUUAAACAAAAUUUAUUCAUUUAUUUAUUUUUCUUAUUUUCAAUGUCUGUCCCUAACCAUUUGUUAUGCUUAUUGAUAAAAGUACUUACUAAAAAAAAAAAAAA